GAGUGGCGAACGGGUGAGUAACACGUGGGCAACCUGCCCAAAAGAGGGGGAUAACACUUGGAAACAGGUGCUAAUACCGCAUAACCAUAGUUACCGCAUGGUAACUAUGUAAAAGGUGGCUAUGCUACCGCUUUUGGAUGGGCCCGCGGCGCAUUAGCUAGUUGGUGGGGUAAAGGCUUACCAAGGCAAUGAUGCGUAGCCGAACUGAGAGGUUGAUCGGCCACAUUGGGACUGAGACACGGCCCAAACUCCUACGGGAGGCAGCAGUAGGGAAUCUUCCACAAUGGGCGAAAGCCUGAUGGAGCAACGCCGCGUGGGUGAAGAAGGUCUUCGGAUCGUAAAACCCUGUUGUUAGAGAAGAAAGUGCGUGAGAGUAACUGUUCACGUUUCGACGGUAUCUAACCAGAAAGCCACGGCUAACUACGUGCCAGCAGCCGCGGUAAUACGUAGGUGGCAAGCGUUAUCCGGAUUUAUUGGGCGUAAAGGGAACGCAGGCGGUCUUUUAAGUCUGAUGUGAAAGCCUUCGGCUUAACCGGAGUAGUGCAUUGGAAACUGGGAGACUUGAGUGCNNAAGAGGAGAGUGGAACUCCAUGUGUAGCGGUGAAAUGCGUAGAUAUAUGGAAGAACACCAGUGGCGAAAGCGGCGCUCUGGUCUGUAACUGACGCUGAGGUUCGAAAGCGUGGGUAGCAAACAGGAUUAGAUACCCUGGUAGUCCACGCCGUAAACGAUGAAUGCUAAGUGUUGGAGGGUUUCCGCCCUUCAGUGCUGCAGCUAACGCAAUAAGCAUUCCGCCUGGGGAGUACGACCGCAAGG
rnacentral:rRNA from 1 species